rnacentral:rRNA from 1 species
GAUGAACGCUGGCGGCGUGCCUAAUACAUGCAAGUCGAGCGAAUGGAUUGAGAGCUUGCUCUUAUGAAGUUAGCGGCGGACGGGUGAGUAACACGUGGGUAACCUGCCCAUAAGACUGGGAUAACUCCGGGAAACCGGGGCUAAUACCGGAUAACAUUUUGAACCGCAUGGUUCGAAAUUGAAAGGCGGCUUCGGCUGUCACUUAUGGAUGGACCCGCGUCGCAUUAGCUAGUUGGGGAGGUAACGGCUCACCAAGGCAACGAUGCGUAGCCGACCUGAGAGGGUGAUCGGCCACACUGGGACUGAGACACGGCCCAGACUCCUACGGGAAGCAGCAGUAGGGAAUCUUCCGCAAUGGACGAAAGUCUGACGGAGCAACGCCGCGUGAGUGAUGAAGGCUUUCGGGUCGUAAAACUCUGUUGUUAGGGAAGAACAAGUGCUAGUUGAAUAAGCUGGCACCUUGACGGUACCUAACCAGAAAGCCACGGCUAACUACGUGCCAGCCGCCGCGGUAA